GAGAGCUUCAAGCACUGAAAAUGGAGGAUUUAAAGAAGAUGAAUGCUACGUAUUGCGUUACUGGUGCAAAUGGGUAUAUUGGUUCUUGGUUGGUCAAGCUUCUUCUUCAAAGAGGCUUUAUGGUUCAUGCCACCGUCCGUGAUCCUGCAAACAAAAGGUUAUUGCAUCUAUUAUCAAUGUGGACAGGAGGUGACCGAUUGAGAUUGUUCAAAGCUGAUUUGCAAGAAGAAGGUAGCUUUGAUGAAGCUGUGAAGGGCUGCCAUGGCGUAUUCCAUGUUGCAGCCUCAAUGGAAUUCAGUGUCAAUGUUGAAAACGGCAACAUUGGUAAUUCCAGGCAAAUGCACACAUUUUUCCAUUUCUUUUAACCAGAAUGCUUGCAGUGAUUGUAGUUUCAUAACUGUUUCCUCGUUUUCUGUGAACUUGAAGAGAACUAUGUGCAGUCAAAUAUCAUUGAUCCUGCAAUAAAUGGAACUUUAAACCUCCUCAAAUCUUGCUUGAGAUCAAAAUCAGUGAAAAGGGUUGUUUUCACAUCAUCAAUCAGUACUCUAACUGCUAAAGACAGCACCGGAAAAUGGAGACAUGUAGUUGAUGAAACUGGCCAGACUUCUGUCGAUCAUGUCUGGAAUUCAAAAGCAAGUGGAUGGGUUUAUGCACUCUCUAAACUUCUCACAGAAGAAGCAGCAUUCCAAUAUGCAAACCAGAAUGGUAUUGAUCUUGUUUCAGUAAUAACAGCUACUGUUGCUGGUGCAUUCCUCACCCCAACUGUCCCUUCGAGCAUUCAAGUUCUCUUAUCUCCAAUAACAGGCGACUCCAAGUAUUUUUCAAUACUAUCAGCAGUUAAUGCUAGAAUGGGUUCAAUUGCUCUAGUCCACAUUGAAGAUAUAUGUAAUGCACACAUAUUUCUAAUGGAGCACACAAAAGCAGAAGGUAAAUACAUAUGCUGUUCCCAGAGUUGUCAAAUGACUGAAUUAGUCGAUCAUCUUGCAGACGAGUAUCCUUCCUCAAAAAUCCAAAGAUCUACAGGGCAAAAAGAAGGUUGUUCCAUACCCUCUGAGAUUUCUUCAAAGAAAUUAAGGGACUUGGGUUUCAAUUAUAAGCAUGACAUUAAAGAUAUGAUCCACGAAACUAUUGCCUGCUCUGUAGAUCACAGCUUUUUACCGCCUAUGAGAAAGUAAAGGUCAUUACAAUUGAAUCAACUCCAGUACAAUUAAUAUCUGCUGUGAUCAUUGACAGAAACAAGUGCUCAAAAUGUACUGUGAUAUACUAAUAAUUCCUCGUACAAUAUGAUGAUUCGACAGCAGAAGUUCUUGUAUGAACCUAGUUCAUCAC
rnacentral:misc_RNA from 1 species